UACGUAGGGGGCUAGCGUUGUCCGGAUUUAUUGGGCGUAAAGAGCGUGUAGGCGGCCAGGCAGGUCCGGUGUGAAAACUCGAGGCUUAACCUCGAGAUGUCAUCGGAAACCAUCUGGCUAGAGUCCGGAAGAGGAAAGUGGAAUUCCUGGUGUAGCGGUGAAAUGCGCAGAUAUCAGGAAGAACACCAAUGGCGAAAGCAGCUUUCUGGGACGGUACUGACGCUGAGACGCGAAAGCGUGGGGAGCGAACAGG
rnacentral:rRNA from 1 species